rnacentral:snoRNA from 1 species
AGGUCCAUUCUAAUUCCCUGCGGGCUGGUGGCUGUACCUGCUGGGUUUCGCUUGUGGACCACAUUAAACUGGAAAACUUAAGCAUGCGUGAGCUUCCUGGUGGUCUGCUCAUGACGUGGUUUUCUGGACAUGU